CCCUAGAAAACAAACUUUAAUUUGUCAAGAGCAUGGUAUACAAAAUGCAUCUCUCAUAUCAGGUGUUAUCUAUCCUAAGUCUUUGGAUUAGAGGUUCUGUGGGGAUCAUCACAGUAGAUCAGUCUCCUGCUGUUGUCAAUGCCCAGCCUCAGGACACUGUGCAGAUCAUGUGUAAAGCUUCUGAAGUCAUUGACCAUGAUAUGGAGCUGUUUCAAGUCAAACCAGGGCAACCACCCAAACUCCUCAUUUACAGCAGCAAGUACAUGUUCUCUGGCACCCCGAGUCGUUUCAGUGGCUCCUACACUGGGACUGACUACACCUUCACCAUCAGUGGCGUUCAGAUAGAGGAUGAGGCCGUGUACUACUGCCAGCAGAGUGAAAACUUCCCGUACAUGUUUGGUCAAGGCACCAAACUGACUGUCAAAAGUCGUGCCGUCUCAUCUCCUGAAGUCAAGAUCCUUCAGCCGACCCAAAGGGUUGCCUCUCCCGGCGUUCCUGCCUCACUGGUCUGUGUGGUCAGCAAGUUUUACCCUGACCAAGUGACGGUGAACUGGUUGGUGGAUGGACAGGGGGCCAAAGGGGACAAACAGGACAGCCAGUCGGUGCGUGCGUCUGACAAGACCUACAGCAUGAGCAGCACUCUGUGGCUCCAGCCGACUGACUGGGAGGCGGCCAAGACCUUCACCUGCCAGGUCCAACACGAGAGCCAGCAGGACCCCACCACCGCCACGCUGGACAAGAGUCAGUGCAUGUAGCUAGAGGAGUCCGGGAGCUAGAGCAGCAACACACACACACACACACACACACACACACACACACACACAUACGCACCCGCGCACGCACACACACACACACACGCACAUGCACACACACACACUCACCCACGCACACACACACACACACACACACACACACACACACACACACACACACACUCAACCUGCUUCGAAACAUGCAGCUGCUAACGCUCAUUCUUUUACUUCUUCUUUUCAGUUCAUUUUAGCAAAUGUGUUUGCACUUGCUGUCUCAAAUGAUCAAUCUGUGCUAUGUGCCUUCAGAUACAGCUUCAAGUGCACUGUGCUGGCUUCUCACUAUUGCCUAAAAAUAAUAAACAUGUUAUUUUGAAUCCUU